UUGUUUGGUGGUAGAUAUUUGUUUGGUGGUAUGAUAUUUGUUUGGUGGUAUGAUAAAACAAAUAUCGUACCACCAAACAAAUAUCAUACCUCCAAACAA
rnacentral:pre_miRNA from 1 species